AUUGGAUGCUGAGAGAUGUAAUUUUAUUUGCUGUUUUGCUCAUUGUUUUAUCUAUUGCUGUUAUGUUGGUUUUAUUGCUACGUGAAUGGCUCUUAUUAUUUUACACUGCUUUAAGAACCUGUUUUUGCUAUUUGAUUUUAUUCCACAAUUUUAUUUCAGAUGUGUUUAAAAUUAUUUAUAGACCAUUUGGGAAACUUUUAGGUUUACUUUGGGUUUAUACAUUUCUGAAAUAAGUAAAUAAUUAAGAUGAAUAACCUGAGGUUUGUCUGAUUAGCAAAAACAGCUCUCCUAGGAAUGGAAUAGGGCUUCUCCCCCUCCAGCACUAGAUCUAAAUGUGAAAACCUAAAAUUACAAGUAAAGCAUCAACAACCAAAACAAGACAACCGUUAUUCAUCUGAAUUAUCAGCCUUGCAUUAAACUCAUCCCCAUCUGUCAUUUUAUUUUUGGCCCUCUCACCUCACUCUCAACUUCAUUAUUUUUCUUUCCAGGGCUGUCAGGUAUGUGAGACGACAAGCCAAAACACAGAUGCUUGAAUGGGCCAGUGUGUGUGUGUGCGCGCGUGUGUGUGCGUGCAUGCACAUGCUUGGCAAGAAACUCAUUUGUGUGUCACUCAGUCCAUUGUGCUUUCUUUCCAAUGUUUUUUCUAUCCUGCUUUUGAAAAGGCAUAUCUACAAGGUCUUGGCUUGUAUGUUUCAGCCACUUUGACAUAUCAACUUUCCAGCACUGAAGCAAAGUGUUUGCAGCAUGUACAAAAAGGCUCAACUCAGCAGUAGCUCAGCCCUGCAGACUGAGAGUGCUCAUUAGAUGUCCACCCUAGCAGGGACAAGCCAAGCAAGAAAAGAUCCUCCCAAAGGGCCAGUUCAAACAACCCCCCAACUGCACGUGUGAACAGGAAUGGGGGACAGACACCAAGUGCCAGCGGAGCCAUUCCCCACGGACAUCCUGACAACCUCGCAGGGCAUCUCUGGAUCAGCCUUUGAAGCAUCCGCUGAUGUGCUCAGAUGAGACCAAGGGAGAAGAGAAAUGUUUAGCAAGAAAAGGGAUCCAGAAGAACAUUGCAGGGAGGAGGAAGCACAUCCUGUCUUGGCAUUGAGAAACUAAGGCAGGUGCUAAAUGGCUCUUCAGGUAAUUCCCAUCUUCGAAAGAGAACAACUUGGCAGUUCUGAGCAUACUUGGCGAGUGUAGGAGGCUGGGAUGCAGAAGGUGCUUACACUACAGAAGAGUCCAUUGCAGGCCCCAAAUGCAGAGGUGGCUGUGAAAGAGGCUUCGACAAGACUGGCAUUGCCAUAAGAGAACCCAGCAACAAAUAGAUAUGGGCUGACAAGCAAUCCAGCCAAGGAUUUGGAAAAAUGUCAAACUUCAAGCCUUUGUACGAUUCUUGAUCCUUACCCAUGGAAGUUUCAAACAGACAUGUUCAGUGGUUUGAGGUUUAU